UACGGAGGUGGCAAGCGUUGCUCGGAAUCACUUGGGCGUAAAGGGCGCGUUAGGCGGGGAGGUAAGUCGGGUGUGAAAUCCCUCGGCCCAACCGAGGAACUGCGCCCGAGACUGCUUCUCUUGAGUCCCGGAGAGGAAGAUGGAAUUCCCGGUGUAGCGGUGAAAUGUGUAGAGAUCGGGAGGAACACCGGUGGCGAAGGCGGUCUUCUGGACGGUGACUGACGCUGAGGCGCGAAGCGUGGGGAGCAAACGGG
rnacentral:rRNA from 1 species